rnacentral:rRNA from 1 species
AUGAAGUUGAAAUCGCUAGUAAUCGCGGAUCAGCAUGCCGCGGUGAAUAUGUACCCGGGCCCUGUACACACCGCCCGUCACACCCUGGGAAUUGGUUUCGCCCGAAGCAUCGGACCAAUGAUCACCCAUGACUUCUGUGUACCACUAGUGCCACAAAGGCCUUUGGUGGUCUUAUUGGCGCAUACCACGGUGGGGUCUUCGACUGGGGUGAAGUCGUAA